rnacentral:rRNA from 1 species
GUUAGGAAUAUUGGACAAUGGGCGAAAGCCUGAUCCAGCCAUGCCGCGUGAACGAUGAAGGCCUUCGGGUUGUAAAGUUCUUUAGCCGAUGAUUAUAAUGACUGUAGUCGGAAAAUAAGCCCCGGCUAACUUCGUGCCAGCAGCCGCGGUAAUACGAAGGGGGCGAGCGUUAUUCGGAAUCACUGGGCGUAAAGCGUGCGUAGGCGGUUUUGUAAGUUAGGAGUGAAAUCCCAGGGCUCAACCUUGGAAUUGCUCUUAAAACUGCAAGGAUCGAAUCUCGGAGAGGAUAGCGGAAUUUCCAGUGUAGCAGUGAAAUGCGUAGAUAUUGGAAGGAACACCAGUGGCGUAAGCGGCUAUCUGGACGAGUAUUGACGCUGAGGCACGAAAGCGUGGGGAUCAAACAGGAUUAGAAACCCCAGUAGUCC